rnacentral:rRNA from 1 species
UGGGGAAUAUUGCACAAUGGGCGCAAGCCUGAUGCAGCAACGCCGCGUGAGGGACGACGGCCUUCGGGUUGUAAACCUCUUUUAGUAGGGAAGAAGCGAAAGUGACGGUACCUGCAGAAAAAGCACCGGCUAACUACGUGCCAGCAGCCGCGGUAAUACGUAGGGUGCGAGCGUUGUCCGGAAUUAUUGGGCGUAAAGAGCUCGUAGGCGGUCUGUCGCGUCUGCUGUGAAAACCCGAGGCUCAACCUCGGGGCCUGCAGUGGGUACGGGCAGACUAGAGUGCGGUAGGGGAGAAUGGAAUUCCUGGUGUAGCGGUGGAAUGCGCAGAUAUCAGGAGGAACACCGAUGGCGAAGGCAGUUCUCCUGGGCCGUAACUGACGCUGAGAGCGAAAGCGUGGGGAGCGAACAGGAUUAGAUACCCUGGUAGUCCACGCCGUAAACG